UACGGAGGGGGCUAGCGUUGUUCGGAAUUACUGGGCGUAAAGCGCACGUAGGCGGACCAGAAAGUUGGGGGUGAAAUCCCGGGGCUCAACCCCGGAACCGCCUUUGAUACUGGAAGUCUUGAGUAUGGUAGAGGUGAGUGGAAUUCCGAGUGUAGAGGUGAAAUUCGUAGAUAUUCGGAGGAACACCAGUGGCGAAGGCGGCUCACUGGUCCAUUACUGACGCUGAGGUGCGAAAGCGUGGGGAGCAAACAGG
rnacentral:rRNA from 1 species